AUUGAACGCUGGCGGCAUGCCUUACACAUGCAAGUCGAACGGCAGCGGACCUUCGGGUGCCGGCGAGUGGCGAACGGGUGAGUAAUAUAUCGGAACGUACCUUUCAGUGGGGGAUAACGUAGCGAAAGUUACGCUAAUACCGCAUAUUCUGUGAGCAGGAAAGCAGGGGAUCGCAAGACCUUGCGCUGAUUGAGCGGCCGAUAUCAGAUUAGCUAGUUGGUGAGGUAAAGGCUCACCAAGGCGACGAUCUGUAGCGGGUCUGAGAGGAUGAUCCGCCACACUGGAACUGAGACACGGUCCAGACUCCUACGGGAGGCAGCAGUGGGGAAUUUUGGACAAUGGGCGCAAGCCUGAUCCAGCCAUGCCGCGUGAGUGAGAA
rnacentral:rRNA from 1 species